rnacentral:rRNA from 1 species
GGUGGUGCAUGGUUGUCGUCAGCUCGUGUCGUGAGAUGUUGGGUUAAGUCCCGCAACGAGCGCAACCCUUAUUGUUAGUUGCUACCAUUUAGUUGAGCACUCUAGCGAGACUGCCCGGGUUAACCGGGAGGAAGGUGGGGAUGACGUCAAAUCAUCAUGCCCCUUAUGUCUAGGGCUACACACGUGCUACAAUGGCAAGUACAACGAGAUGCAAGACCGCGAGGUGGAGCUAAACUUCAAAACUUGUCUCAGUUCGGAUUGUAGGCUGAAACUCGCCUACAUGAAGCUGGAGUUACUAGUAAUCGCGAAUCAGAAUGUCGCGGUGAAUACGUUCCCGGGUCUUGUACACAC